rnacentral:rRNA from 1 species
CGUAACAAGGUCUCCGUUGGUGAACCAGCGGAGGGAUCAUUACUGAGUUACCGCUCUAUAACCCUUUGUGAACGUACCUAACCGUUGCUUCGGCGGGCAGGGGAAGCCUCUCGCGGGCCUCCCCUCCCGGCGCCGGCCCCCACCACGGGGACGGGGCGCCCGCCGGAGGAAACCAAACUCUAUUUACACGACGUCUCUUCUGAGUGGCACAAGCAAAUAAUUAAAACUUUUAACAACGGAUCUCUUGGUUCUGGCAUCGAUGAAGAACGCAGCGAAAUGCGAUAAGUAAUGUGAAUUGCAGAAUUCAGUGAAUCAUCGAAUCUUUGAACGCACAUUGCGCUCGCCAGCAUUCUGGCGAGCAUGCCUGUUCGAGCGUCAUUUCAACCCUCAAGCACCGCUUGGUUUUGGGGCCCCACGGCCGACGUGGGCCCUUAAAGGUAGUGGCGGACCCUCCCGGAGCCUCCUUUGCGUAGUAACUAACGUCUCGCACUGGGAUCCGGAGGGACUCUUGCCGUUAAACCCCCAAAUUCUUUACAGGUUGACCUCGGAUCAGGUAGGAAUACCCGCUGAACUUAAGCAUAUCAAUAAAGCGGAGGAAAU